AACCGCGAUAGGUCAUUACUUCUGGAAUGGGUAAUGACUCAAACCUAUAUGGCCCCUGGAUUGGACUGCGGCCGAUCAGGCUGUUGGUGAGGUAAUGGCCCACCAAACCUGUAACCGGUACGGGCUCUGAGAGGAGGAGCCCGGAGAUGGGCACUGAGACAAGGGCCCAGGCCCUAUGGGGCGCAGCAGGCGCGAAACCUCUGCAAUAGGCGAAAGCCUGACAGGGUUACUCUGAGUGAUUUCCGUUAAGGAGAUCUUUUGGCACCUCUAAAAAUGGUGCAGAAUAAGGGGUGGGCAAGUCUGGUGUCAGCCGCCGCGGUAAUACCAGCACCCCGAGUGGUCGGGACGUUUAUUGGGCCUAAAGCAUCCGUAGCCGGUUCUACAAGUCUUCCGUUAAAUCCAGCUGCUUAACAGAUGGGCCGCGGAAGAUACUAUAGAGCUAGGAGGCGGGAGAGGCAAGCGGUACUCGAUGGGUAGGGGUAAAAUCCGUUGAUCCAUUGAAGACCACCAGUGGCGAAGGCGGCUUGCCAGAACGCGCUCGACGGUGAGGGAUGAAAGCUGGGGGAGCAAACCGGAUUAGAUACCCGGGUAGUCCCAGCUGUAAACGAUGCAGACUCGGUGAUGAGUUGGCUACAUGCCAUCUCAGUGCCGCAGGGAAGCCGUUAAGUUUGCCGCC
rnacentral:rRNA from 1 species